GACGAACGCUGGCGGCGUGCUUAACACAUGCAAGUCGAACGGAAAGGCCCUGCUUUUGUGGGGUGCUCGAGUGGCGAACGGGUGAGUAACACGUGAGUAACCUGCCCUUGACUUUGGGAUAACUUCAGGAAACUGGGGCUAAUACCGGAUAGGAGCUCCUGCUGCAUGGUGGGGGUUGGAAAGUUUCGGCGGUUGGGGAUGGACUCGCGGCUUAUCAGCUUGUUGGUGGGGUAGUGGCUUACCAAGGCUUUGACGGGUAGCCGGCCUGAGAGGGUGACCGGCCACAUCGGGACUGAGAUACGGCCCAGACUCCUACGGGAGGCAGCAGUGGGGAAUAUUGCACAAUGGGCGGAAGCCUGAUGCAGCAACGCCGCGUGCGGGAUGGCGGCCUUCGGGUUGUAAACCGCUUUCGCCUGUGACGAAGCGUGAGUGACGGUAAUGGGUAAAGAAGCACCGGCUAACUACGCG
rnacentral:rRNA from 1 species